rnacentral:lncRNA from 1 species
UUAUGUUUUGUUACUAGAAGAUUUCAUGGUAAAUAUGUUUUGUUUACUAGAAGAUUCUUGUCCUGAUUAUAUGCUCAACAUAUUAUUCCUUAAUGGUGAUAGCUAUAACUUGGUUUCUUCAUCUACAAUAUCAUAUGACUUCUAUUUAAUAUUGCGGUUUUCAUUACAUAACUAAGGAGUGUUUGCAGGUACUUGUUGGAAUUGUUUUGCUGCAGGUACUAGGUACUUUUUGGUUUAUUUGGUCAAAGAGCCUUCUUGUUUGGAGUGUCUCCACCACAUGAUACAAUAAUGGAUAAACUUUCUGUUGGAUGAAAGGAAGCUAGGAGGUGUUGGAGUCUCUUAUAGAGUUACAAAGUGUAUUAGAAUGAAAAAAAAUAAGCUGGAGUCUCUUAUAAAGUUACCUAGUGUAUUAGAAUGAAAAAANN